UACGUAGGGUGCAAGCGUUGUCCGGAAUUAUUGGGCGUAAAGAGCUCGUAGGUGGUUCGGCAAGUCAGUUGUGAAAUCUCCGCGCUCAACGCGGAGGGGUCAGCUGAAACUGCUGUGACUUGAGUCUGGUAGGGGAGUGUGGAAUUCCCGGUGUAGCGGUGAAAUGCGCAGAUAUCGGGGAGGAACACCAGUGGCGAAGGCGGCACUCUGGGCCAGUACUGACACUGAGGAGCGAAAGCGUGGGGAGC
rnacentral:rRNA from 1 species